GGGAUAUCCACAAGUAAUCUAGGUCUAAGCACCACGCUUACACCUAUACUACAACUCUAACCUAUAGGGUCCUAUAGAUUAGAAGUACUCAAAAGAGUUGUGAACUAGAACAUACAUGAUUAGUAAUUGCAUAAUGAAUUAGAAGUAGAUUACCAGAGUCAUCCCAUGAGCAAGCUUGAUUAGAGCUUGAUCAUGGCGAAGUACAACCGGAGGAAGAGCCGACAGGCCGGCCUCUCCUCUAAUCCUCCUUCGCUCUCCAUCUCGCUACUAUCUAGAUCUACUCUAGUUUAGAGAAGAGAGGAGAGCUCUCAUCUCUAAACCCUAGCUUUUGCUCUGUCUAUGAAUAAUGAAUAAUGAUCAAGGGGUGCCUCCUCCAGGGGCCAGGGGGUCUGGUUUUAUAGUCCCCUCAAGUGAACCUAGGCCGUCGGAUCAAACCGACAUUGAUUGAACGGUUAUUCUUGAUCCUUUAGGUCGGUGGAGCAUAAUCCGUGAGAUUGAGCGUGAUUGGCUAUAGGAGGUGGGCGGGCGCCCAGUAGGACAGGGCGGGCGCCCUGUCUCUGGCCCCGUUUCGCCUCUGCUUCGGUCUCGUGGCUUCUGGAGUCUUCUAGAUGUAAGAUAAUUGUGCGGCACGUUGAUAUCUCUAUGUAAUCCUGACGUGUGGGCCUUUCUUCCUUAUUUUCUGAUAACCCCCUGCAGAAAUAGACAAACACCAAAACUCGUGGAAUUCUGUCAGAUAAAACCCUAAGUCUCGAUGUUGAUUUCAUUUGGAUCCUUUUCUUUGUUUAUUUAAUAGUUAAAUUUGAUACUUAAGGACCGUCAACAAACUCCCCCAAGCUUACCUCUUGCUCGUCCCUGAGCAAGGAUAGACUCAGCUAUGGAUCAUAAGUUGUUGCAAUAUCUUUAAAAAUUGACGGUACACAUGCUUUUAAAUGAGGUCUCAUCUCUGAGUUAGAGUAAACUGUCAAGACUUAAAACUUACUUACUUUACCUUUCACCAUGGGACUUGUAACCGUCACUUCUGUCUUGAGUGGUUAAAAGAUAGAAUAGUCCCGUCAAGUGCCAUGUCUCUUAUUCUUGAUCAGCUAUAGCUCUGGAGUUUUUGCAGAUUUUCAAAUAAAACUCAGAGAUUCCUUUGUAUGACUCUCUCAUAUCUCUCUUUUGUGGUAUUUCUGGAUCCUUACCAAGGCAGUGAUGGUAUAUGCCUUCUCUCAAGAUAUGUGGUAUUUGUGGUAUAAGGUAUAGUGACAUUGCCUUCUCUCUCACCCUACUAUAAUAAGGCUUUAAUAUCUGGACCUCAUAGGUGGGAGAUAAAGUAUACAUACUUACAAGACAUGUAUUGCAUAGUCAAACCAUGGAUCCAAAGAAACAAGUCAAUAAGCCAAAUCAAGAUGUGCAUGUGUGGCGAUUGAAUGGUGUAUGGUGAUGAUGGUGAUAACAAUGGUGGAAACAAUGGUGGUGGAAGUCUAAUUCUACUUUUGCUCUUUUGAGGGGAUACAUACCUUUCUUGCUCUUGAAACUUUAUGAGGAGAAUGAGAUGCUCUUCUUUUUCUUUUCUUUUCUCUCAGGUGGGUAUCCUGUACCCCUAAUUCUACUGUCGGACACUUGUCCAUUUUUACCUCUCGUCUCACUCUUUUUCUUUUCUUUCGAGGUUCCGGGCACUUGCCCCUUUUUAUUUCCUCGUUUAUUUUUUUUCUUUUUUUUCUUCUUUUCUUUUUUUUCAGAGCACUCAUCUCUUGAGAUAAUAUAGCAAGUGGUAGUAGCAAGAUAACUUGAGCAUUUAUUUCACAAGGGAAAAACACAGAUGUUUUUGGCUAUUCUCUCCCGAAUUAGGAGUAGAAUAUUUUUAGGUGAUUCUGGAGAAAUGGAUGGAUAUAUGUGGAUGGUACUUCCGGAGUAGAAGUAGCAUAUAUAUGAGUGAACGUGCAAGUGAAUCUUGAUUUAACCACAUGACAAGCUCCUAAGGGUCUACACAGCUUGACCACACUCAAUGCUCAUAAGUAGUAAGUAAAUGUGUGGCUCAAAGUCUAGCAAGCAUGUAUAUAUGGCUGUGGUAGGAAUUUAAACUCUCAUCAUACAGGAACUCAUCAUGCAACAUUUUAAAGAUUUUUCAAAGAUAAAAUUCUUCAGAAUUCUAGCAUCUCUAGGAAUAGAUAAACAGCAGCUCAACCUUCCCAUAUCAUAUCCGUUAACAACUUAGAUUUCAGAUAAAGUUUUCAUCCCACAAGUUUAGAUCUAGAGCAAGCUUUAAAUUAUAACAGUUAUGUCUAAACUUGAGAGAGAACUUUAAAUUUGCAAAUUAGGCAGAGCAACUAUUCAACAUAUCCAUGCUAGAGUUUUAUUAUUAAGAUUCAUAGCAAACUUUAUUUAUUUAUUUAUUUAUUUAGCAAACUAAGAAAAGAUAUAUAUAUAUAUAAGCAUAAAAUCUUUAUUUGGUUUUUUAUAGUUUAUGUAUUUUAAUAUUCUAAUAUAAUAUAAGUAUAAAGAUAGGUAGAAAUACUUAGCGAGAUAAAUAGGGGUGCUCUCCCCCAAGCUGAAUUUUGACGUAAUUUCUCUUGAUGUAGCUAGCAGGUGGCAGAGGUGUAUUUGAAAGUCAGCAGCAUUCUGACAGCGAUUAGAAUGUCCUCCGUCUGCUAGUCUUCUUGAUUCUUAAAUUCUGUGGAGCUCAAAUAGACAACAAACCUUUGUGGAACUGAUUAAGUGUUAGCAUAAAUAUCUAGCCUUUAUCAUGUUGAGUCUCCUCAAUAAAUAUUACUCCCUAUUUUUUUAUUUUCAUUUUAUAAAGCAGAAAAGAAAUAUUUAUUUUAUUUUUAUACCACCACAGUGAAUGUACUUAUGGAAUUUAUGCCACUCGUAUACUCACAUGGGGCUUAGUAUUUUUUAACAUUUUUAUUUUCUUUUCAAGAUAGCAUGAUUAACUAAAAAUCUAUUUAAGGAAAGUAAAUAAUUAAAGGGAAAAGGGAAUGCAGAAAGGAUAAAUAUGGAUAACUACCAAUCUUACCUUUCGGCGAGGGUUCAAUGUUUUAAGUCUUCUUGACAAGACUUCUCACCGUGUUCAUUCUUCAGGUGCGUCAUUUGAUUCAGGUGCGGACCUUGACGUCUGCACCUUUUAAUACAGUGUCACCCAUGUUCUUCGUUUGCUCAGCAGUUCGAAGUGCGGCGUUGGCAGUGUCCUGCUCAGUGUGUUUGUGCUCGUAGAUCCAGGUCCUUCACUUGGUAGAGUCUGAGAGUUAUAAAACUCCUCCGUGUUUUGCUCGAAGUGUACCUGCUCAUAGAGACAAGGCAGAGAUCAAGUGCAUGGGUCCUGUUGGUGGAAAACACCAACAGAACCAAAAGUGUAUUUGUUCUUCUCUAACCUUAAGCAUAGUGAGCAAGACAAAGUUGAUGGAUGAUAAGUUCAUGAGUGUAGCACUUAUAACAUUUGUCAGAUCAGAUCGCUCAACCUUAUGGAAAGAUAAUCUAUUUAUGUAUAUGUCUUUUUCUUUAUAUCUCUCAAUGAUUGAAUGUGUAACUUGUUAGCUCAUAUGAUUAGGAGUGUGGGAUCAUGGAGGUAGUACUAAGAACAAGGAUUAAAGGACUAAACAUGUUAAAUCAGUUGGGUUGGUUAAUCUAGAGUUGUAAAUCAUACAUGUUUGUCUCUUUUAUUUAUAUGAACGCCAGAACCAAGGAGAAGCUUAUAAAAGUGAUAGUCAAGUACCUUAAGAUGAUACCUUGCUCGAAGAGUGAUGGUACAGUAUCAUCUUGUGGAAGCUUUCCUUUCUUAGCGGUUAUGCAUCGUGUUCGUGGCACCCUCCAUGGAUCAUCUCUCUAUGAUGAAUGAGCUAUGUCCUUCUUGUGCAAAUUGUUAAACUUCAUGUGUCACUCUCUUCGUCUCUGAUGUGAGUUUAUCUUAGGACUUCCCAAAUCGAUAUUGAAAGUUUUUCUGCAGGGGUUAGUCCGACAAAAUAUACCAAUAUCUACUCAAGCAGUUUUUUAGUUCAAUAACCAAACUAGACUCCAUGUCUAAUCAGAUUAAGGAAGGCUAUUUAUCCUAAGCACCAUGCUUAAUUUAAAUGCCAAUGGAAGUAUGGCGAGUACUUCCAAACCAACACUUGCUAGUAAAUAGACAAAGGUAGCAUGACAACGUUUAUAGAGAUCUACUCAAGUGGAGAUG
rnacentral:lncRNA from 1 species